rnacentral:rRNA from 1 species
CAUUCGCAAUGGGGGAAACCCUGACGAUGCGACGCCGCGUGGAGGAUGAAGGCCUUAGGGUUGUAAACUCCUGUCAAGAGGGAAUAAGCAAGUGAAGGUACCUCUAGAGGAAGGGGCGGCUAAUUCCGUGCCAGCAGCCGCGGUAACACGGAAGCCCCGAGCGUUGUUCGGAUUCAUUGGGCGUAAAGGGUGCGCAGGCGGCGCGGAAAGUCCGGCGUGAAAGGCAGGGGCUCAACCUCUGGACUGCGUUGGAUACUUCCGUGCUUGAGGACUGGAGGGGAGACUGGAAUUCACGGUGUAGCAGUGAAAUGCGUAGAUAUCGUGAGGAAGACCGGUGGCGAAGGCGAGUCUCUGGACAGAUCCUGACGCUGAGGCACGAAGGCUGGGGGAGCGAACAGGAUUAGAUACCCUGGUAGUCCCAGCAGUAAACGAUGUGAGCUUGAUGUGGGGGGAUUCGACCCCUUCCGUGUCGAAGCUAACGCGAUAAGCUCACCGCCUGAGGAGUACGGCCGCAAGGCUAAAACUCAAAGAAAUUGACGGGGACCCGCACAAGCGGUGGAGUAUGUGGCUUAAUUCGAUGCAACGCGAAGAACCUUACCUGGCCUUGACAUGCAUUGUGUCGUCGGUGAAAGCCGGCUAGUCCUGGAAACAGGACGCUUUGCACAGGUGCUGCAUGGCUGUCGUCAGCUCGUGUCGUGAGAUGUUGGGUUAAGUCCCGCAACGAGCGCAACCCUUGUGGUCAGUUACUAACCGGCUUAGCCGGAGGACUCUGGCCAGACUGGCCCUGUCAAACGGGGAGGAAGGUGGGGACGACGUCAAGUCAGUAUGGCCCUUAUGGCCAGGGCUGCACACGUACUACAAUGCCCGGUACAAUGUGAACCGAAACCGCGAGGUGGAGGAAAUCGCUCUUGAAAACCGGGCCCAGUUCGGAUUGGAGUCUGCAACUCGACUCCAUGAAGUCGGAAUCGCUAG